rnacentral:rRNA from 1 species
UACAGAGGGUGCAAGCGUUGCUCGGAAUCAUUGGGCGUAAAGGGUAGGUAGGUGGUCUCAUUUGUCUGGGGUGAAAGCCUUGAGCUUAACUCGAGAAGUGCCCCGGAAACGGUGAGACUGGAGUCUUGGAGAGGGUCGUGGAAUUCCCGGUGUAGCGGUGAAAUGCGUAGAGAUCGGGAGGAACACCAGUGGUGCAAACGGCGCCCUGGGUCCGAACUGACGCUGAAGCACGAAAGCGUGGGGAGCGAACGGG